CGCGCAGGCGGUUCGGUAAGUCGGUCUUAAAAGUGCGGGGCUUAACCCCGUGAUGGGAUUGAAACUGCCGGACUGGAGUGUCGGAGAGGAAAGCAGAAUUCCUAGUGUAGCGGUGAAAUGCGUAGAUAUUAGGAGGAACACCAGUGGCGAAGGCGGCCUGCUGGACUGUUACUGACGCUGAGGCACGAAAGCGUGGGGAGCAAACA
rnacentral:rRNA from 1 species